rnacentral:rRNA from 1 species
GCGAAAGCUAAUUGUAAAUAUUACAAGCUCGAUUUACUCGGAUAAAAUUCUAGAUAGGAUUAUGAUAAUGACAUCGCUUAUCUAUAUGACUUGACCAAAUUACGUGCCAGCAGUCGCGGUAAUACGUAAAAGUCUAGUGUUAUUCAUCUUUAAUAGGUUUAAAGCGUACCUAGACGGUUAAUCAAGCCUAAAUAAGGUACUAAUUAAACUAGAGUUAUAUGUAAGGGUGCAUUAAGGUACUGUUGAGGUGUAGAGAUGAAAUUCUGUCAUACCAGAUUAUUGGCACGGGUUUAGGCGAAAGCAUCACCUUAUGUAAUAACUGACGUUGACGGACGAAGGCUUUGUGUAGCGAACAGGAUUAGAUACCCCAGUAGUCUAAGCAGAAAAUGAUGAGUGUCAUAGGUUGAAUAUUAUUUGGUCUAUAAAUGAAAGUGUAAGCACUCCACCUCAAGAGUAAUUUGGCAACAUUGGAACUGAAAUCAUUAGACCGUGUUUGAAACCAGUAGUGAAGUAUGUUGUUUAAUUAGAUGCCACGCAAAAAACCUUACCACAAUUUGAAUAUUAAAGAAAACUUUUUUACAAGCGCUGCACGGCUGUUUUUUAGUUAAUGUCGUGAGAUUUUGGUUAGUUCCAUUAAAUUAACGUAAACCCUUACUUUAUUUUAUAUAAAGUAGUUCACCGCUAGAUUGGUUAAGAUAACAGGGAU